rnacentral:tRNA from 1 species
UCCCUCGUAGUUCAGUCGGUAGAACGGCGGACUGUUAAGCCGGAUGGCUCUGGUUCGAGUAGAGUCGAGGGAGCGA